rnacentral:rRNA from 1 species
AUUGAACGCUGGCGGCAGGCCUAACACAUGCAAGUCGAGCGGAGCGGCGGACGGGUGAGUAAUGCCUAGGAAUCUGCCUGGCAGUGGGGGUUAACGUCCGGAAUCGGGCGCUAAUACCGCAUACUAUCAGAUGAGCCUAGGUCGGAUUAGCUAGUUGGUGGGGUAAAGGCCUACCAAGGCGACGAUCCGUAACUGGUCUGAGAGGAUGAUCAGUCACACUGGAACUGUGACACGGUCCAGACUCCUACGAGAGGCAGCAGUGGGGAAUAUUGGAGAAUGGGCGAAAGCCUGAUACAGCCAUGCCGCGUGUGUGAAGAGGGUCUUCGGAUUGUAAGGCACUUUAAGUUGGGAGGCGUUACCAACAGAAUAAGCACCGACUAACUUCGUGCCAGCAGCCGCGGUAAUAC